AGUAUUGUGCCAGAGUUUAAAUGGGCUUUGUUGAUGUCGAAGAGCACGGGGUGAGUCCCCCAAUACUU
rnacentral:tRNA from 1 species